rnacentral:lncRNA from 1 species
GAAACGCACCGUUUCAUUUUAAAAAAUAAAUAAAUAAUAAUUAAAAAAUAAAAAUAAUAAUAAAAAUAAAUAAAAACCACCGAACCCCACCCCACCCAUCAAUUCUCCACAUUUCUAGUUUCUUCUUUCACUUUCUCUACUUCCCCUGUUCCACGCUUUUUCUUUCUUUCCUUUUCUCUAUCUUUCCAUUUCAUCUCUUCUCAUUCCAACAACAAAUAUCAA